rnacentral:lncRNA from 1 species
AGACAGAGCAGCUCAGUGAUUGUUCUUAUGGCCAAAAAUAAAGCACAAGUUUACUGAGAUUGAAUAAACCCAGGGGGAAUGAAAACUACACCUAUAGAAAAUUGAGUAUGUAUUGUAGAAAUGUAGAGGAAAAUAAAAAUAUUUUUUCAGAUGUAAUUACUUUUAAUAUAUGCUUGUGGAAGGUCUAAUAUGAUGUAUGCUGUCUCUGUAAUUUUUGCUGUAAAUAACUGGAGACAGUGAAUACACUGAUUUUUCUAUGUCUCUGUUUAAGCAUAAGACUUUGUAAUGAUUUUUUUAGAGGGGGAAAAACCAACAAAGAGCAAAUAUGUACUUGCUUCCUUUCUGCGUGUUACGUACUUCUCAGAAACUGGUUGUAAUGGUUUAAGCAUCUUGAUGGGUCAUUGGUGUUAAGUGUACGCUUCCUUUUGUAAGACAGCUGAGAAAGGGACAGGGCUGUCAAUUAAAUCUGCUCCAAAGAAUCUGUAUUGAAGAUUUCCCUAAGACCUGUAAACUCUAUCUGAACCAGACAUGAAAAAGGAAAGUUUUUUU